rnacentral:ncRNA from 1 species
AAUCAUCCAGGCUGGUUCGCUGUCGUCGACAGCACCUGUCCCACGUGGUCGCGAUCUUCCAGGCCACGGUGCGCAUUGCGCAUUGAUCGUCUGAAGUUCGCCCAGUAUUCGGAAGCGCGAACGGUCGUCGAUGC